rnacentral:rRNA from 1 species
UCCUACGGGGCGCAGCAGUGAGGAAUAUUGGUCAAUGGGCGCGAGCCUGAACCAGCCAAGUAGCGUGAAGGAUGACUGCCCUACGGGUUGUAAACUUCUUUUAUAAAGGAAUAAAGUGAGGCACGUGUGCCUUUUUGUAUGUACUUUAUGAAUAAGGAUCGGCUAACUCCGUGCCAGCAGCCGCGGUAAUACGGAGGAUGCGAGCGUUAUCUGGAUUUAUUGGGUUUAAAGGGAGCGUAGAUGGGUUGUUAAGUCAGUUGUGAAAGUUUGCGGCUCAACCGAAAAAUUGCAAUUGAUACUGGCAG